rnacentral:rRNA from 1 species
UACGGAGGGUGCAAGCGUUAUCCGGAAUUAUUGGGUUUAAAGGGUGCGUAGGCGGCCGUUUAAGUCCGGGGUGAAAGCCCACUGCUCAACAGUGGAACUGCCCCGGAAACUGGACGGCUUGAGUACAGACGAGGUUGGCGGAAUGGAGGGUGUAGCGGUGAAAUGCAUAGAUACCCUCCAGAACCCCGAUUGCGAAGGCAGCUGACUAGGCUGUAACUGACGCUGAGGCACGAAAGCGUGGGGAGCGAACAGG